rfam:Capsicum annuum cultivar Zunla-1 chromosome 11, whole genome shotgun sequence
AUCUCAUGGUAAGGACAUUUCAAGAGCCUCUCUUUAAAUCACUCCCAAGCUUCAUACCAUGGUUCUUUAUGAAAUUUGCAAAAAUUAACAAUUUUAUCCUGAAAUU